UCAAGUACAUGAUGAUUGCUUAAAGCAAUGGGAAUCUCUCUGAAAACACUGAGGAUAUACAUUACUAUCUGAUACUUGA